rnacentral:rRNA from 1 species
UACGGAGGGUGCAAGCGUUAAUCGGAAUUACUGGGCGUAAAGCGCGCGUAGGCGGCUUGUUAAGUCGGAUGUGAAAUCCCCGGGCUCAACCUGGGAACUGCAUUCGAUACUGGCUGGCUAGGGUGUGGUAGAGGGAAGUGGAAUUCCAGGUGUAGCGGUGAAAUGCGUAGAUAUCAGGAGGAACACCAAUGGCGAAGGCAGGUCUCUGGGCCAUUACUGACACUGAGGAGCGAAAGCGUGGGGAGCGAACAGGAUUAGAUACCCCGUGU